GACGAACGCUGGCGGCGUGCUUAACACAUGCAAGUCGAACGGGCCCGCUCUCUUUUUUGGGGGUGGGUUGAGUGGCGAACGGGUGAGUAUCACGUGAGUAACCUGCCCCCUGCUCCUGGAUAACUGCUUGAAAGGGCGGCUAAUACGGGGUGUGCCGGCUGGUCCGCAUGGGGCUGGUCGGGAUAGUUUCAUCUUCGGGUGUUUCGGUGGGGGAUGGGCUCGCGGCCUAUCAGCUUGUUGGUGGGGUGAUGGCCCACCAAGGCGGUGACGGGUAGCCGGCCUGAGAGGGUGGGCGGCCACACUGGGACUGAGACACGGCCCAGACUCCUGCGGGAGGCAGCAGUGGGGGGUAUUGCACAAUGGGCGGAAGCCUGAUGCAGCGACGUCGCGUGAGGGAUGGAGGCCUUCGGGUUGUGAACCUCUUUCUCCGGUGGUGAAGGCCCUGUCCGUUGCGGCGGGGUUGACGGUAGCCGGGUAUGAAGCGCCGGCUAACUACGUG
rnacentral:rRNA from 1 species